rnacentral:rRNA from 1 species
UACGAAGGGGGCUAGCGUUGCUCGGAAUUACUGGGCGUAAAGGGCGCGUAGGCGGAUAGUUUAGUCAGAGGUAAAAGCCCAGGGCUCAACCUUGGAACUGCCUUUGAUACUGGCUAUCUUGAGUACGGGAGAGGUGUGUGGAACUCCGAGUGUAGAGGUGAAAUUCGUAGAUAUUGGGAAGAACACCGGUGGCGAAGGCGGCGCUCUGGACCGAGACUGACGCUGAGGCGCGAAGGCGUGGGGAGCAAACAGG